AGAGUUUGAUCCUGGCUCAGGAUGAACGCUGGCGGCGUGCCUAACACAUGCAAGUCGAGCGAUUUACUUCGGUAAAGAGCGGCGGACGGGUGAGUAACGCGUGGGUAACCUGCCCUGUACACACGGAUAACAUACCGAAAGGUAUGCUAAUACGAGAUAAAAUACUUUUAUCGCAUGGUAGAAGUAUCAAAGCUUUUGCGGUACAGGAUGGACCCGCGUCUGAUUAGCUAGUUGGUAAGGUAACGGCUUACCAAGGCGACGAUCAGUAGCCGACCUGAGAGGGUGAUCGGCCACAUUGGAACUGAGACACGGUCCAAACUCCUACGGGAGGCAGCAGUGGGGAAUAUUGCACAAUGGGCGAAAGCCUGAUGCAGCGACGCCGCGUGAGCGAUGAAGGCCUUCGGGUCGUAAAGCUCUGUCCUCAAGGAAGAUAAUGACGGUACUUGAGGAGGAAGCCCCGGCUAACUACGUG
rnacentral:rRNA from 1 species